ensembl:misc_RNA Metazoa_SRP Metazoan signal recognition particle RNA
GCUGGGCGUGGUGGUGCACGCCUGUAAUCCCAGCUACUUGGGAGGCUGAGGCAGGAGAAUCACUUGAACCCGGGAGGCGGAGGUUGCAGUGAGCCCAGAUCUCGCCACUGCAUUCCAGCCUGAGUGACAGAGUGAGACUCUGUCUAAA